GGCCUCCUGGUGCUCACCAACGCUGUGUUCUUCACACUGGUCGUACAGAAAGAGGAGGCAGAGUAAAUGUAUCCCAUAUACACCUCAGUACAGGCCCUUUGCCUGGUCUGUUUUGUGAAUGGGAGGAUAUGG
rnacentral:snoRNA from 1 species